rnacentral:antisense_RNA from 1 species
AACUGAAGACGGGAACCAUGAACUUAUGGGUCAGCAUCUUUUUUCGUGAUAUUAUUU